GCCGGGAUGGCGCAGUGGUAAGCGCAUCUGCCUGGUAAGCAGGAGACCUGGGUUUGAGUCCCAGUCUGUGCA